rnacentral:tRNA from 1 species
GAGGGGAUAGCUCAGGGGUAGAGCGCGUGCUUAGCGUGCACGGGGUCCUGGGUUCAAUCCCCAGUACCUUUA